UUUGUCUUCCGUCUCCCUCUUUACUUUUUUUCCAGCCGUCUGUUGUCCAGGAGAUGGAUGGUUUCUGAGGAGCAUACAUUACGGAGAAGCCUGCCACCAUUGUGAUUAUGGCUGUAAUGGCCUGUUUUUGAUCAAAUAACACCAAAGGCAUCUCAUUCGCACGUCUCUCGCUUUCUCGUGCUGGUGCACGGAGGAGGAAAAGCCCCAAUUAACAGAGCCAAAACAAGCAGGACCAUUAAGACGGACGCCCACUGGAAGGAACCAAGAGGCUGCUGGGUAGGCCUAAUACAAGUCCUGUGAUCCUGUACUCAUUCAUCUUGUCAAAUCAACACUGCUUUUGCUGUUCACUGGAUGAUGUGUGUUUCCUUUUGGAACAUUCCUUAAUAGACAAAAAGCCAGGGAUUUUCCAGGGUCAUAUGAUAACACUUGAUUCUUGCAAUGGCCAGAUUGUGUUCUUGAUCUGGAAGAUUGGUCUCAAUAAUGUUCAGUUGUGUGUGUGUGUGUGUGUGUACAAACAAUCAAAACAAAAUCAUCACUGGUUGACUUGAAAUAAUAUCCCUACAAUGGAUUCUGUCAGAUGAUUCAUUUAGAAAU